rnacentral:ncRNA from 1 species
CCAACAUUUUUAACACAAGGUCUUGGUCUUAAACCUCUUAUUAUCUAAGCUCUAUAAUUAUACAUGCAAGCCUCAACAUGACAGUGAAAAAGCCCACCACAGCACCCAACGGAGCCGGUAUCAGGUUAACCGCCCACAACACCAAGCAACCAUAAGCCACACCCCCACGGGCACGCAGCAGUAAUUAAUAUUAGGCCAUAAGUGCAAACUUGACCCAGUAACAGAACUUUCAGGGCCGGUUAAUCUCGUGCCAGCGACCGCGGUUACACGACAGGCCCAAGAUAAUACCACCGGCGUAAAGCACGACUAGAACCAAGAGUUACCCGGUUAAGGAUAAAGACCCACCAGGCUGUAAAAAGCCACAAGUCAUACUAAACUCACGCCCUAACCAUUAAACAACUUUAACUCGUGAAAGCUAGGACACAAACUAAGAUUAGAUACCCUACUAUGCCCAGCCAUAACAAAACAAUCAAAUAACAAAUUGUUCGCCAAAUAACUACGAGUAAAAACUUAAAAUUUAAAAGACUUGACGGUACUUCACAUCAACCUAGAGGAGCCUGUCCCAUAACCGAUAACCCACGAUUAACCCGACCAGCUAUAGCCAAACAGUCUAUAUACCGCCGUCGCCAGCUUACCUUGUAAAAGAAACAAAGUAAGCCCAAUAACCCCCAUUAACACGACAGGUCAAGGUGUAACUUAUGAGCUGGACCAAGAUGGGCUACAUUUUCUUUCUAGCAGAAAAAACGAACAGACUAUGAAACUAGAAACUGAAGGAGGAUUUAGCAGUAAGAUAGAAAUAGACACGCCUAACUGAAACUAACGCAAUGAAGUGCGUACACACCGCCCGUCAUCCCUGUAAAACACACAAUUAAUACAUAAACACAACUAAAUAAUUAAAGCAGGGCAAGUCGUAACAUGGUAAGCGUACUGAAA